rnacentral:lncRNA from 1 species
UGCCUACAUGGGGAGACGUGGGAAAAAGUUGCAAGGAUUAAAAAUGAGCAGGAUGGGGACACAGAUAGAAUGGUAGAUAUAGUUAUGGAUACGAUUGGUCUUGAAUUUAACUAGGAUGUGGAGGGCGAUCCAAAAGUUGGCAACAAUAAUUUCUACCCUAUGCUAAAAGAUACUGAUGAACCACUAUGAUUGGAAUGUAAAACACACGCUGUAUUAUCAGCUGUGUUAAAGUUGUUGAAUUUGAAGGCCAAAUUUAAUAUGACGGUCUAU